rnacentral:rRNA from 1 species
CCCUUAGAUGUUCUGGGCCGCACGCGCGCUACACUGACUGGUGCAACAAGUGUCGCUCCUUGGCCGAUAGGCCUGGGCAAUCUUUGAACGCCAGUCGUGAUGGGGAUAGAUUCUUGCAAUUUUUGAUCUUCAACGAGGAAUUCCUAGUAAACGCGAGUCAUCAACUCGCAUUGAUUACGUCCCUGCCCUUUGUACACACCGCCCGUCGCACCUACCGAUUGAAUGGUCCGGUGAAGCCUCCGGAUUGGCGUGCACCCUCGGGUGCUGCCGAGAAGUUGGCUAAACCUUACCAUUUAGAGGAAGGUGAANUCGUAACA